rnacentral:lncRNA from 1 species
UCUUCCCAACAAAAAAAAAAUAAAAAACAAUAUUAUCUCUUCUCUUACUGCAACAAAUCUCUCUCUCUCUCCCUCUCUCUCUCUGUAUCGUCCUCCACGAUUCCACCUGCUCGAUCAAAUCUACUCAAUAAAUCUCUCAAUCAACUAUUAAAACGAUCAUCUUCCUUCAUUAAAAUACCUUCUGGAUCAAAUACCAAGCCUUCUAGACAAUAUCAAUCUCCAUGAUUUAUGAGGUACAAAUUCUUUGUCUUAACUGAAUCUAUAAUCUGUUAAUUUCCUUUGACCAUGGUAUACUUUGUAAACUGGCGUUUGAUGAUUUCUUUAACAUGUUAAUCUAAUCAACUAACUCUGCUACUCUAAGACCGAAAACGAACAAUUCAUCUUAAUUUCUUCUAAACUCUUCGACUAAGAUGCAUGGGGUAAACGAUAGUAUCAGAUAAUAAAAGGCAGCAUACUUUAUUUGUAUAUCGGUAAUUCCCUUUGUGAGAUAAUUUCUUAAUAACUUAUAAAUACCUCUAGCUUCAAGAAGAAAUUAAUUUGUGAUCCUGCGAUGGGUUUGAUAGAUUGUUUUACAGGCAUUGGAACAAUGUACUUUUGAAAAUGCAGCCCUUGAGGCAAAAUGGAUCUCUGAAUUAUCAGAGUAAGAGAAAUGGUAGAAAAGAGUGUUGCAGAUCUGAAAUUCAUUAUUACUGAUGAGCCGUCUAUUGAUUGGGUGAAGUCUUUUUCAGUGAGUUUUCUUUAUAUAUUUCAACCUUUGAUCUUGAAUAUUCAAUUGACAGUGUGCCAUAAAUGAUAUUAAUGUUAUAUAACAUCAACCAGUCAUGUUUUUUUCCUCUCCAGGUAUACACUGUAAGAACCCAACCGUUCUUUCUGGGUUAAUGUACAUGGAUAGAAAACUAAAUGGGAACAAUACCCAUAGCUUCAUUACUGUCCCUGAGGCGAAGUGCAUUUGAUUCGAGUUGGAGAAGUAUUCCAGCUGCGUGAAAGUCGCAAACUCACAAGCCUCCCUUAUUCACGGUUGGCCAGAUCAGUCUCUCUAAAGUUGGGAGCAUGGGGUUUGAGAGAAUCAACCUCUUGGGGGCAGUUCCUUUGGAUGAUUUCAGGGUCAUCCUAGGAAUGGGCUUCCUUCGCCAAACAAAGGCCUGUAAAAUGUGUUCGUAAAUCAUAGCGGUCUUUUUUUUCCGGGUAUAUACAUCCAUCGAUCUCUUCUCGGGUGGAUAAAAUAGCACAUAAAAAUAGUCCAUUUUUUCGUUUGUUUUUGGUUAUUUGUUGAAUCAACACUUAUUUACUUACCUGAUAGUAGUUCAAAAAUCCAACAUUAGAGAAACACAAUGAUUUAUCACUUAAACUGAUGUGUUCCACAUCAAAAACAAUUCUAUAUUUUUUGUGCAAUUCAAUAGAUGGAGCAUGGAAGAUAUUGUUUCUGGUGAUGGAUGUGCUUCAAUUCAAAUGAGACAAUUACCCAUUAAACUGAGGCUUGAAAACUGAAAGGGGGGAGGAUAUAUAGAUUCCAAUAGGAAUGUUGAACACUAGGGAGUAGGGAGAGUGCACAGCUUGAUUGUGGCAGCUGAAUUACAUACAACUAAAUUGUUGAACUUCGGAAUUUAUUUUCUCUCAAAUUGAUGUAAGGAUGAAAAUCCUACUAUUUCUAAUAUAAGUUGAGCAGUUUCUAAAUCAAUUCAAUAGUUGGCGAUCAUGUUUUGAGUAGUUAUGCAUGCCAUGCACGUCCAAUAUCUUGAACGAGAUCAUUUUUA